CCUGGUGGCUCAGGUGGUAAAGAACCCGCCUGCAAUGCGGGAGACCUGGGUUCGAUCCCUGCACUGGGA
rnacentral:tRNA from 1 species